GGUGAACGCUGGCGGCGUGCCUAAAACAUGCAAGUCGAGCGGCAACAGGCCUUCGGGUGCUGGCGAGCGGCGGACGGGUGAGUAACGCGUGGGAAUGUACCCCAAAGUGAGGAAUAAUUCCGGGAAACCGGGACUAAUACCGCAUAAUCUCUUCGGAGCAAAGCUUUAUGCGCUUUGGGAACAGCCUGCGUCUGAUUAGCUAGUUGGUGAGGUAAUGGCCCACCAAGGCGACGAUCAGUAGCUGGUUUGAGAGGAUGAUCAGCCACACUGGGACUGAGACACGGCCCAGACUCCUACGGGAGGCAGCAGUUAGGAAUUUUCCACAAUGGGGGCAACCCUGAUGGAGCGACGCCGCGUGCAGGAUGAAGGCCUUCGGGUUGUAAACUGCUUUUAUCUGUGACGAUUAUGACGGUAACAGAUGAAUAAGGGUCUGCUAACUACGUGCCAGCAGCCGCGGUAAGAC
rnacentral:rRNA from 1 species